UUCGCACCUAAAGUUGAAACUUAUCUAAAAUCCCUGGUAUCACGCCGUAAGCCACAUAAUUUAGUAAGAAAUAACUAUUAUUCCAUAUUGUUCGAUAGGUAGUUAUUUCAUGUAAAUUUACGUAGCAUUCAUCUAAUCUUUUAAAUGCCUCCUUAUCUGAUAGACACGUAUUAGGGAAAUAGUUCUUACUGUGCCUGAAUUGUAUUCAACAAGGCCAUGUCCUAAAUGCAUAUUUGCACUUUCUUAAUACGAGUAAUUACUCACUUUUAUUUACUUAAUUACACUCUUUCCAUUUCUAAGAAGCAGCAAGUUAAAAUAAUUUAAAGUACAUCUAGGAAGAGAACUGAACAAUCAAGAGAAUGCGUCAGCGGUUAAGAUACAGACGAUUAUUCAAAUAUAAAUCGAGAUUGGUUAUUUCGGGCAUUUUUUAUCAAGAUAAGCUGUACGUGAAUGAUCGAGAAUCAAAAUUAUAUAAUUCUGUAAUAAGAAUUAUUGGGAAUUAAAUACGUGUUAAUAUAAACUUUGAUUGCGUUUUAUAUCUUUUAUCGACUCCGGAAGUGCACCUCACAUAUUAUGAAGCACCCUGUACACGUUGUACCUCUAGACGUUGCAAUUUCAUUUAAAAAAAAACUUAGAAAUAUUUGCAUAAUCAUCACUUUCCUUCAACUAAGUUGCUGAAUCACAGUGAUUUAUUAUUGCAGUAUAAAUAGUUUCGUUACUCUACUUAUCAGUUCUCUAUCUCUAUAAUAACUGCAUUUGACUACAUUCAUGUGUAAAAAUAUAUUUUUUUACAGUUCUAAUUGCUUGACUGGUAAGAAGGAUUCCCCUGAAAUAUUUCAAACCUUUUCCUAAUGUUUUUUGCUAUUGGAUAUUGCAAUAGUUUUAAGUAUUGAAUAUCUAUUUUUAAAACUUUAUUGAACCUUUUAAUCGUUUUGCACUGGUUACAGCAUAUCGAACGAAAUAUAACCAACGUAAAACAAUUUUCUUUUCAACUUUAAUUCCCUUGUGGUAUUGACUAUAAUUGUGCACAAAUGUGUACGUUAAUUUCAAUUUCACGUUUUUAGAUAAUUCUAUAGCGUAAUUAUUUCAAAAAUAUAUCUUUUAUACAAAUUUUAGUAUCACAAAUUUCUUCUUCUUGCAAGAAGUAAUAUCUUCAUAUUCAUUUGUUAUAUUAUGGACAAUUUACGUCUUUCUUCAUCGACAUCUUAUCCUGUGGGUAUUUUAAAGCGAGUCCCGAUUUUGAAAAAAUUUGUUUCUUACUUUCAGAAUCACUUUUGUAACGAAAAUCAAAAAACAAAGUUUUUGAAAAAAUAAAAUUUCAAGCGUCGGUUCGAAUAAGUAGGUGAAAAUUUCAAGUUUUGACUCAUUUGUUAAUUACUAAAACGUUUAAAGACGCUAUUUAUACCUCGUUACACGUUCUCCAUUAUACACGAAACUUCGGAGAACAUUCCAUCGGUAAUUUCCGCUGCUUAGAUACUUCUCCAUAUUUAGCUAAAAAACUGUAUUUGAAUUUAAGUACAUGUGCUACAAAAAAUUAAUAAACUUGAAUUUAAUUUAAUUUAAAAUAGUAUAACAUAGUGAUAAAAAUAGUGCAUAAUAUUUAUAAUACAAAUAACAUGUAAGCUAUUUUUGUUAUUAUAAUAUGAAUGUUAUGUCAAAAAACACAAGAACUGUAAUGCACUGAUGACAUAGUAAACAUAUAAUUUAAAUGUGAAUGCAUGAUUAAGUGUAAGUAAGAAACAGUGUAUUUUUCGUCAUGUUAAAUAAACACAUUGUUUUUAAGUACCUCGUGUAAAACAAGGUAAGUAAUUGUCACAGAAAAAUUAUUUGACUGUUCCAGAAACAAAUAUAUAAACUCGAUUAUAUGUAGUUCGAAAAUACGUAACUGAACAAAUAGUUGAAAAAUUUCUCAGUAACUUGCGGUAUAUCUGAACUAGUUAUGUGCUUCUGAUUCACUCUGUAUAUGUAUGUACAAUACUAACAAUAUAUAGACCGUCUUAGUGUCAUAUGGCACUUGAAUAUAUAAUCACUUUGUAAAAGAAUAUUCAGAGUGGGAGGAACGGUUGGGUAAUGUUUGGUUUCCAACAAAUUUACUCAAGAGCAUACUUGUGUAUCUAAGAAAGAAUCAGUUCAACUUUAUUAGUGAAGGAGUUAAGUUAUAAAGGAAUUUACAAUGGCUUCAGAACGAAAAGUCUAUUAUUUCGCGGUUCUCUUUUAUAUCCUACAAUUACUACAUCUAAAUUCAUCUACUAUAUUGGGAACAUGUCCAAUGAUAAAUAACAGUAUUCCUAUGACACAGACUGAACUUCUGCAGGAAUUAACGAACGACUGUCGUUAUGACAAAAUGAUGAGACCUCCUGGAGAAAUGAAUACCACUGAUCCAAUUAGUGUGUACACCAGUGCUUACAUUUAUACAAUUAAAUCAAAUAUGGUUAAAACCCUGCAAUUCGAUGUCCACAUGAUGUUACAAUUUAGAUAUUUGGAUAAACGGCUGAAGUUUGAUAAAAUUGUUCCGAACUUACAUCAGAUAAAUGGUGGACAAUUUGCACACGACUUAAUUUGGACGCCUAAUGUAUAUGUUUCUAAUGAGCCUAGUUCAGCCAUUAUGGGAAAGGAUGUUAAAGAUAUACUUGUUUCUAUAAAUUCAUCAGGCAUGGUCAUAUUGAACACUAGGUUACAAGCAACUCUUAACUGUGGGCUUCGUUUGGAGAAGUUUCCAUUUGAUGUACAAGAAUGUCCACUCAUUUUUGAAAGCUGGACACACAAUGUGCUUGACAUGGUAUUAUAUUGGGAUGAAGAGCCAAUUAUACUUGCAGAUGAAUUACACUUAACUGAAUACAAACUUGUGGACAAAUGGGUUAAUACGUCAGAAACAUAUUAUACUACGUCACAACAACAUUUUGGUCACUUUGCUGGUAAUUUCAGUUCACUCAGUAUAACAUUUAAAUUAUCAAGAGAAAUGGGAUUCUUUGUGAUGGAUUACUAUAUACCAUCUAUAUUAAUAGUAGUGAUUUCUUGGGUCUCAUUUUGGUUGCAUGUGGAUGCAAGUCCACCAAGAAUAGUAUUAGGAACAAACACUAUUCUAACAUUUAUGACACUUGCAUCAAAAGUGGAAAAUUCCUUACCAAAAGUUUCUUACAUAAAAGCCAGUGAAAUAUGGUUUCUAGGUUGUACUAUAUUUUUGUUUGCAGCAAUGGUCGAAUUUGCUUUUGUUAAUACAAUUUAUCGACGAAAGAAAAAUGUACCUUUAAAAAAGGUUAAUAGUAAAUACAUAUUAAAAUCAACAUUAACGCCAAAGCUAGCGCGGAAACAAUUUCAGAAAAAUACUACAGGGCUAGAGCGAUCUCGUUCUUGGUCGUCACUUGAAAAUACAAAUUCCAGUGAUCAAGAUUUUUCAAGUCAAAAUUAUCUUACUGUACAUAGUUUCCCAAGUACUCUCAACAUACCUUCUGUUAAAAUUGAAGAGGACAAAGACCCAGAAUGCUCAGAAAGAAAUAUUGCAACCAUCAGUAAUACACCACUACCAAAACCUUUCCCAAGAAGAGCAACCCUUGCUCAGUUACAUAAUUUUACGACAAUGACACCACAAGAAAUUGCUCAGUGGAUUGAUAGACGUAGCAGAAUUGUAUUUCCUGUAGCUUUUCUUAUAUUCAACAUCUUUUAUUGGUCUUUUAUUUGGAUAUAAAAAUUUCAUAAUGAAACUGAACAUGAGCCGUUCAAAGGCCAAAACGACCAACUUUACUGGUUUUAAGCAUUUGAUCAAAAAUGAAAUUACUAAAAGGGAGUGAGGAGCACUUUUAUAUUGUGGACUUGAUCAUUUUGGCAAAUGAAUGGCUCAUAUACCUACAAAAUAAUCAUUUUAACUUUUUUAUUAGAUGUAUAUUAUUAUUUAGUUGCUUUUCAAUUAACAAUUUAUUCUUGCAAUAUAAAACAAUCUGAAACAUAUAAAUUAUUUUAACAAAGAAAAUAAGAUCUACUACCACACAAUUAAAUACUUCUUUCUUAAUCCACUGAGAACCAUCUAGGUGUUCAAUUACUCGUUAAGUCAAGAUUUUGAAAGAGGGACAAAAUGCAGGGUUUGGUUGCAGAUCUGUUAAUUAAAGGGAAAUAUAACAAAGAUUGCAGGAUAGUCUGAUAAGAAUGAGAAGUACAUAGAAGAAAUACUUUUUCCAAUACUUGUAUUACAAGUAUAUUUAACAUCAAAGUUUCUUCCACUCAGGAGGAGGAUUGACAGAUUAGCAAUGGAGUCAAAUAUCAUUGUCAUAAUCUGCAUGGAACAUCAUAGAUUAUUUUGUAUUGUAAGCUCAAAUGAUGCAUAGUUUUAAAAUUUAUAGUUAAUAUAUUUUA
rnacentral:misc_RNA from 1 species